rnacentral:lncRNA from 1 species
AUUUACAAGUGUUAUAUUUUCUUGUUAGAUUGUUCCCUUUAUCAUUAUUUAGUGCCCAUCUUUGUCUCUUGUUACAGUUUUUGUUGUAAAUUCUAUUUUGUCUAAUAUAAGUAUUGCUACCCCCACUUUCUUUUCUUUGCCAUUUGCAUGGAAUAUCUUUUUCCAUCCUUUCACUUUCAGUUUGUGAGUGUCUUUAGGUCUCAAGAGUGUCUCUUGUAUGCAGCAUAUACAUGGGUCUUGUUUUUUUAUCCAAUUGGCCACCCUAUGGCAUUUGAUUGGAGCAGUUAGUCCAUUCACGUUUAAAGUAGCUAUUGAUAAAUAUGUAUUUAUUGCCAUUUUGUUACUUUAUUUUUUUCUGGGUGUUUUAGUAGUUCUUCUCUGUUCCUGUCUUUUUCUCUUGCUCACUUCCCUUGUGGGUUGAUGGCUCUCUUUAGUAAUAUAUUUGAUUUCUUUUGUCUUACUUUCUUGCUUGCUUAGUAUAGGUUUCUGAUUUGUGAUUUCCAUGAGGAUCCUAUUUAAUAUUCUAUGUAUAUAACAGUCUAUAUCAAGUUGAUAGACUCUUUAGCUUCACCUCUUUCUAAAGCUCUACUUUUUCACUCCCCUCCUCCCACAUUUAAUGUUUUUCCAAUCAUAUAUUAUCUCUUGUUUAGUGUGUAUCUAUCCAUAAACCUCUUAUCAUUGAAAUAGGUGAUUUUAGUACGUUUGUCUUUCAACCUUCAUAUUAUCUUCACAAGUAGUUGAUCUGCUACCUUUACUAUAUUUUUACCUUUGCCAGUGAUUUUAUUGCCUGGUUUUUUCUUGUUGUUGUUUUGUUUUUUUUAUAAUGAUUUUUUUUUUCUAUUUGUGGUCAUUGCUUUCCCACUUAAAUAAGUCUCUUCAGCAUUUCUUGUAGAAUUGGUUUUUUGGUGAUAAAGUCCUUUAAUUUUUGCUUGUCUGGUAUGCGCUUUAUCUCUCCUUCCAUUCUGAAAGAGAACCUUGAUGGAUAGAGUGUUCUUGGCUGUAGGCUUUUUCCUUUUAGCACUUUAAAUACCUUGUGCCAUUCUCUUCCAGCCUGUACGGUCUCAGCUGAGAAGUCCACUGAUAGCCUGAUGGGCUUCCCUUUAUAUGUCACUUGUGGCCUUUCUCUUGCUGCUUUUAGGAUUCUCUCUUUAUCUUUAAUUUUGGACAUUUUAAUUAUAAUAUGGCUUGGUAUGGAUCUCUUUGGGCUUAUCUUGCUUGGAGCUCUCUGUGCUUCCUGAACUUGGAUGUCUGUUUCUUUCCUCAGAUUAGGAAAAAUUUCAUCUACUAUUUCUUCAAAUAAAUUUUCUGCCCCUUUGUCUCUCUCUUCUCCUUCUGGGACACCUAUAAUCGGACCGUUAGCACGCUUGAUGUUGCCCGAGAGUUCCCUUAGACUGUUCUCAUUCUGUCUAAUUCUUUUUUCUCUUUUCUGUUCUGCUUGGGUGACUUCCUCUAGUCUUUCCUCUAGCUUGCUGAUCCAUUCUUCUGCAUCCUCUACUCUGCUAUUGAAUAGUGAAUUGUAGAGAAGAUAGAUAUUUGGGAUAGACGUUUAGGGUAAGAGUUUCAAAAUCUUACAUUAAAUGUAAAUAAAGAAAAACCAACAAUCAAAGAGAAGACAAAAGUCAGCUUUAUUUUUCUCUGAGUAGUGGUCAGAAUUCUCUGUGGUCUUGAUUAGGUUAGCCUUUGUGAACAGACACAAUUUUCAAUUUUUUAUACUUUUUCUAUACUCUUCAUUAACCCCUAACCAUAGGACAGGGAUUUUGACCUCUUCAUUGUGAUAAUUUGAUACAAAGCCACCCAAGAUGGCUCACAAAUCCAGUGCACUGGAAUGGUUUCAUAUUACAUCAGUGAACAAAUUACAGAUCUGAAAACUGCUCUCACUUUCUUAUUUCAGUCUCUCUUUCCCUUCCUCCUCCCCUUCCUUCCUUUUACUAUUCCUUCCCUCUGACUAUGGUUAGCUAUUUUCUUAGCAUUGUUUAUUGUUAUAAUAUCCCUUAAAGAAUAUUUUUUUAAAAUUAUGUACGUAUUAUACCAAUGUUAAAAUCUUGCUUUUGAUAAGUAUCCUACGAUUACAUAACGUAUUAACAUUAGGGAAAAUUGGAUGAUACAGAUGUACUAAGUUUACAAUUUUUCUUGAAGCCCCAAAUUAUCUUAAAACAAGAAAAAUGUUAUUUGAAUGUGUAUAUAUUUCUUUUUAAAAAUUUUUUACCUUAAAAUAAUUUUAGAUCGACAAAGUAUAUAUAAAGUAUUUAUAUAUACACACAUACAUAUACAUUCUCUAUAUAAUAUAAUAUAUAUACAUAUAUAAAUACAAAAUAAAUAGAAAACAUAUCUAUUUCUUCAACUUUCUUACCCCUAGUGAUCCUGUAAUGCUGAGAAAACAACUUCAGGUAUCUAUCUAUCUAUCUAUCUAUCUUGGUGGUCUGGUGGUUAAGAUUUGACACUCUCACCUUGUGGCCUGCAUUUGUUUUCUGGUAAGGGAACCAUAUCACCCACCUAUCAUCUGUCAGUUCUCACACUUUGGUGGCUGUGUGUUGCUGUGAUGCUGAAAACU